UACGGAGGGAGCUAGCGUUGUUCGGAAUUACUGGGCGUAAAGGGUUCGUAGGCGGCCCACUAAGUCAGACGUGAAAUCCCUCGGCUCAACCGGGGAACUGCGUCUGAUACUGGUGGGCUUGAAUCCGGGAGAGGGAUGCGGAAUUCCAGGUGUAGCGGUGAAAUGCGUAGAUAUCUGGAGGAACACCGGUGGCGAAGGCGGCAUCCUGGACCGGCAUUGACGCUGAGGAACGAAAGCCAGGGGAGCAAACGGG
rnacentral:misc_RNA from 1 species